rnacentral:rRNA from 1 species
GACGAACGCUGGCGGCGUGCUUAACACAUGCAAGUCGAACGAUGAAACCUAGCUUGCUAGGUCGAUUAGUGGCGAACGGGUGAGUAACACGUGACUAACCUGCCCCUUUCUCUGGGAUAACGCUCCGAAAGGAGUGCUAAUACCGGAUACUCACACCGAGGCACAUGCCUUGGUGUGGAAAGUUUUUCGGAAAGGGAUGGAGUCGCGGCCUAUCAGCUUGUUGGUGAGGUAACGGCUCACCAAGGCGACGACGGGAAGCCGGCCUGAGAGGGCUACCGGCCACACGGGGACUGAGACACGGCCCAGACUCCUACGGGAGGCAGCAGUGGGGAAUAUUGCACAAUGGGCGCAAGCCUGAUGCAGCGACGCCGCGUGAGGGAUGAAGGUCUUCGGAUUGUAAACCUCUUUCAGUAGGGACGAAGCGAAAGUGACGGUACCUAAAGAAGAAGCACCGGCUAACUACGUGCCAGCCGCCGCGGUAA